rnacentral:tRNA from 7 species
GGGCCGUUAGCUCAGUUGGUAGAGCACCACAUUUGCAAUGUGGGGGUCGCAGGUUCGAAUCCUGUACGGUCCACCC